CAAAAGUGAUGAUACCAGAGAAUGGUUUCGCAAAUUUGACUGAUGUCAUGUGAUGUUAUGCUUCUCUUGGCUAUCUGAUUAA
ensembl:snoRNA